rnacentral:rRNA from 1 species
AUUGAACGCUGGCGGCAUGCCUUACACAUGCAAGUCGAACGGCAGCAUAGGAGCUUGCUCCUGAUGGCGAGUGGCGAACGGGUGAGUAAUAUAUCGGAACGUGCCCUAGAGUGGGGGAUAACUAGUCGAAAGACUAGCUAAUACCGCAUACGAUAUACGGAUGAAAGUGGGGGAUCGCAAGACCUCAUGCUCCUGGAGCGGCCGAUAUCUGAUUAGCUAGUUGGUGGGGUAAAAGCCUACCAAGGCAACGAUCAGUAGCUGGUCUGAGAGGACGACCAGCCACACUGGGACUGAGACACGGCCCAGACUCCUACGGGAGGCAGCAGUGGGGAAUUUUGGACAAUGGGGGCAACCCUGAUCCAGCAAUGCCGCGUGAGUGAAGAAGGCCUUCGGGUUGUAAAGCUCUUUUGUCAGGGAAGAAACGGUAGUAGCUAAUAUCUAUUACUAAUGACGGUACCUGAAGAAUAAGCACCGGCUAACUACGUGCCAGCCGCCGCAGUAAAAC